UACGGAGGGCGCAAGCGUUAUCCGGAUUCACUGGGUUUAAAGGGUGCGUAGGUGGGUCUGUAAGUCAGUGGUGAAAUCUCCGUGCUUAACAUGGAAACUGCCAUUGAUACUAUAGGUCUUGAAUUAUCUGGAGGUUAGCGGAAUAUGUCAUGUAGCGGUGAAAUGCUUAGAUAUGACAUAGAACACCAAUUGCGAAGGCAGCUGGCUACAGGUAAAUUGACACUGAGGCUCGAAAGCGUGGGGAUCAAACAGG
rnacentral:rRNA from 1 species